UACGAAGGGGGCGAGCGUUGUUCGGAUUUACUGGGCGUAAAGGGCGCGCAGGCGGCUUUGUUUGUCAGGCGUGAAAGCCCCGGGCUUAACCUGGGAACUGCGUCUGAUACUGGAAGGCUCGAGUUCGGGAGAGGAAUGUGGAAUUCCAGGUGUAGCGGUGAAAUGCGUAGAUAUCUGGAGGAACACCGGUGGCGAAGGCGGCAUUCUGGACCGAAACUGACGCUGAGGCGCGAAAGCCAGGGGAGCAAACGGG
rnacentral:rRNA from 1 species